rnacentral:misc_RNA from 1 species
GAUGAAGAACGCAGCGAAAUGCGAUACUUGGUGUGAAUUGCAGAAUCCCGUGAACCAUCGAGUCUUUGAACGCAAGUUGCGCCCGAAGCCAAUAGGCCGAGGGCACGCCUGCCUGGGCGUCACACGUCGUUGCCCCCCCAUCUACUCCUUCGGGAUUGCGGGGGGCGGAUGAUGGCCUCCCGUGCGCCUCGUCGCGCGGUUGGCAUAAAUGCCAAGUCCUCGGCGACGCACGCCACGACAAUCGGUGGUUGCGAAACCUCGGUUGCCCGUCGUGUGCGGUCGUCGCGCAUCGAGGGCUCGAAAAAAUUGCCGGGCUCCGGCUCGGCUUUCAACGCGACCCCAGGUCAGGCGGGGUUACCCGCUGAAUUUAAGCAUAUCAAUAAGCGGAGGA